CCUACGGGAGGCAGCAGUGGGGAAUAUUGGGCAAUGGAGGCAACUCUGACCCAGCAACGCCGCGUGAAUGAUGAAGGUCUUCGGAUUGUAAAGUUCUGUGAUGGGGGAUGAAUACAAUGACGGUACCCCAAUAGCAAGCACCGGCUAACUACGUGCAAGCAGCCGCGGUAAUACGUAGGUGGCAAGCGUUAUCCGGAAUGACUGGGCGUAAAGGGGGCGAAGGGGGUUUAAUAAGUUGGCGGUGUAAUUCCGGGGCUCAACCUCGGAGCUACCGUCAAAACUAUUAGACUAGAGUGCAGGAGGGGUAAGUGGAAUUCCUUGUGUAGCGGUGGAAUGCGUAGAUAUAAGGAAGAACACCAGGGGCGAAGGCGAAUUACUGGACGGUAACUGACGGUGAGGCGCGAAAGCGUGGGGAGCAAACAGGAUUAGAUACCCGUGUAGUC
rnacentral:rRNA from 1 species